AUACGAAGGUGGCAAGCGUUACUCGGAAUGACUAGGCGUAAAGGGCAGGUAGGUGGUGUGGUAAGUCUGUUGUGAAAGCUCCUGGCUUAACCGGGAGAGGCCAACAGAUACUGCCGGACUAGAGUAUGGGAGAGGGUACUGGAAUUCCCGGUGUAGCGGUGAAAUGCGCAGAUAUCGGGAGGAACACCAAUGGCGAAAGCAAGUACCUGGACCAUUACUGACACUCAGCUGCGAAAGCUAGGGGAGC
rnacentral:rRNA from 1 species